CGGUCUUUCAAGUCCGAUGCUAAAGACUGGGGCUCAACCCCAGGGGUGCGUUGGAUACUGUGAGGCUAGACGGUCGGAGGGGGUAGCGGAAUUUCCGGAGUAGCGGUGAAAUGCGCAGAUACCGGAAGGAACGCCAAUAGCGAAGGCAGCUACCUGGACGACUUGUGACGCUGAGGCGCGAAAGCGUGGGGAGCAAACCGGAUUAGAUACCCGGGUAGUCCACGCCCUAAACCAUGAGUGCUGGGUGUCCGGCUUCUGCUGGGUGCCGUAGCUAACGCGCUAAGCACUCCGCCUGGGAAGUACGCACGCAAGUGUGAAACUCAAAGGAAUUGACGGGGGCCCGCACAAGCGGUGGAGCAUGUGGUUUAAUUCGAAGCGACGCGAAGAACCUUACCAGGCCUUGACAUGCCCGGAACCCCUCUGAAAGGAGGGGGUGCCCGCAAGGGAGCCGGGACACAGGUGCUGCAUGGCCGUCGUCAGCUCGUGUCGUGAGAUGUUGGGUUAAGUCCCGCAACGAGCGCAACCCCUAUCCCUAGUUGCCAGCAGUUCGGCUGGGCACUCUAUGGAGACUGCCUGCGAAAGCAGGAGGAAGGCGGGGAUGACGUCUGGUCCGCAUGGCCCUUACGGCCUGGGCGACACACGUGCUACAAUGCCAAGGACAGAGCGCUGCUACCUCGCGAGAGGACGCCAAUCGCAAAAACCUUGGCUCAGUUCGGAUUGGAGUCUGCAACUCGACUCCAUGAAGCC
rnacentral:rRNA from 1 species